GUGGGGAAUAUUGGGCAAUGGGCGAAAGCCUGACCCAGCAACGCCGCGUGAAGGAAGAAGGUCUUCGGAUCGUAAACUUCUAUCCUUGGUGAAGAUAAUGACGGUAGCCGAGAAGGAAGCCCCGGCUAACUACGUGCCAGCAGCCGCGGUAAUACGUAGGGGGCAAGCGUUGUCCGGAAUGAUUGGGCGUAAAGGGCGCGUAGGCGGCCUGGUAAGUCUGGAGUGAAAGUCCUGCUUUUAAGGUGGGAAUUGCUUUGGAUACUGUCGGGCUUGAGUGCAGGAGAGGUAAGUGGAAUUCCCGGUGUAGCGGUGAAAUGCGUAGAGAUCGGGAGGAACACCAGUGGCGAAGGCGACUUACUGGACUGUAACUGACGCUGAGGCGCGAAAGUGUGGGGAGCAAACAGGAUUAGAAACCCGUGUAGUCA
rnacentral:rRNA from 1 species